rnacentral:rRNA from 1 species
UACAGAGGGGGCAAGCGUUGUUCGGAAUUACUGGGCGUAAAGGGCGCGUAGGCGGCCUGUUAAGUCGGACGUGAAAUCCCUCGGCUCAACCGGGGAACUGCGUCCGAUACUGGCGGGCUUGAAUUCGGGAGAGGGAUGUGGAAUUCCAGGUGUAGCGGUGAAAUGCGUAGAUAUCAUUUGGAACGCCAAUGGUGAAAACAGCUCGCUGGGGGUUUGCUGACGCUGAGACACGAAAGCCAGGGGAGCAAACGGG